UUGAACGCUGGCGGCAGGCCUAACCCAUGCAAGUCGCACGGUAACAGGAAGCAGCUUGCUGCUUCGCUGACGAGUGGCGGACGGGUGAGUAAUGUCUGGGAAGCUGCCUGAUGGAGGGGGAUAACUACUGGAAACGGUAGCUAAUACCGCAUAAUGUCGCAAGACCAAAGAGGGGGACCUUCGGGCCUCUUGCCAUCGGAUGUGCCCAGAUGGGAUUAGCUUGUUGGUGGGGUAACGGCUCACCAAGGCGACGAUCCCUAGCUGGUCUGAGAGGAUGACCAGCCACACUGGAACUGAGACACGGUCCAGACUCCUACGGGAGGCAGCAGUGGGGAAUAUUGCACAAUGGGCGCAAGCCUGAUGCAGCCAUGCCGCGUGUAUGAAGAAGGCCUUCGGGUUGUAAAGUACUUUCAGCGGGGAGGAAGGGAGUAAAGUUAAUACCUUUGCUCAUUGACGUUACCCGCAGAAGAAGCACCGGCUAACUCCGUG
rnacentral:rRNA from 1 species